rnacentral:rRNA from 1 species
UAGGGAAUAUUAGAAAUGGACGAAAGUCUGAUCUAGCGACGCCGCGUGUGCGAAGAAGGCCUUCGGGUUGUAAAGCACUUUUUGGAAGGAAUACGAAGGAAGGUACUUCCAGAAUAAGUCUCGGCUAACUACGUGCCAGCAGCCGCGGUAACACGUAGGAGGCGAACGUUAUCCGGAUUUACUGGGCGUAAAGCGCGUGUAGGUGGUUUUGUAAGUAGGGCGUGAAAGCUCCUGGCUCAACUAGGAGAGGCCGUUCUAAACUGCAGAGCUAGAGGAUGGUAGAGGGAGGUGGAAUUCCAGGUGUAGCGGUGGAAUGCGCAGAUAUCUGGAGGAACACCAGUGGCGAAGGCGGCCUCCUGGACCAUUCCUGACACUCAGACGCGAAAGCUAGGGUAGCAAACGG